CAAUAGCGUAUAUUUAAGUUGUUGCAGUUAAAAAGCUCGUAGUUGGAUUUCGGUUAAGAGCGACCGGUCCGCCGUUUGGUGUGCACUGGUUGGUUUUAACUUCCUGUAGAGGACGUGCUCUGGGUUUAACGACCUGGACUCGGAGUCUACGUGGUUACUUUGAAAAAAUUAGAGUGUUCAAAGCGGACUUACGCUUGAAUAUUUCAGCAUGGAAUAACACUAUAGGACUCCUGUCCUAUUUCGUUGGUCUCGGGACGGGAGUAAUGAUUAAGAGGAACAGUUGGGGGCAUUCGUAUUUCAUUGUCAGAGGUGAAAUUCUUGGAUUUAUGAAAGACGAACUUCUGCGAAAGCAUUUGCCAAGGAUGUUUNCAUUA
rnacentral:rRNA from 1 species